rnacentral:lncRNA from 1 species
UUUGUACAGCUAUCAAUUAUCAAAUUAAAUUAUUAAAUAAAAAUACUAUAUUUUUUUUUAUAAUUUUAAUGAAAAAUUUAUUUUUAUUUUUAUUUUAUAUAUCAUAUCAAAUAUUAUUGAACUUGAUACGAGGAUGGAUCAUCGAAAAAAAUUGUUUUCGAGUUUUUUUUCUCUAAAGAAUGAUUUAUUUCUUUUUAUGUUGGAAUAGAUGGGUCUUUAGAAUCAAACGACUUUGUCAGGGGCAACCUUUGGUGCUUGGUGUGUGAC